UACGAAGGGGGCUAGCGUUGUUCGGAAUUACUGGGCGUAAAGCGCGCGCAGGCGGUUUCUCAAGUCAGUGGUGAAAGCCCGGAGCUCAACUCCGGAACUGCCAUUGAAACUGUGAAACUUGAGGACGAGAGAGGUGAGUGGAAUUCCCAGUGUAGAGGUGAAAUUCGUAGAUAUUGGGAAGAACACCGGUGGCGAAGGCGGCUCACUGGCUCGUUUCUGACGCUCAGGCGCGACAGCGUGGGGAUCGAAACAGG
rnacentral:rRNA from 1 species